ensembl:miRNA
UGAGGCAGGAGAAUUGCUUGAACCCAGGAGGUGGAGGUUGCAGUGAGCUGAGAUCGUGCCACUGCACUCCAGCCUGGGUGACAGAGCGAGACACCAUCUCA